ensembl:ncRNA
AGCGAAUACGCCUCGGAUCCAAUCA